UGGGGCGUCGCCAAGCGGUAAGGCAACGGGUUUUGAUCCCGUCAUGCGUAGGUUCGAAUCCUUCCGCCCCAGCCA
rnacentral:tRNA from 1 species